AAAAGUGUCCUUUCACUGUAAGCUUAUAUAUAUAUAUAUAUAGAUAUAUAUAUAUAUAUAUAUAUAUAUAUAUAUAUCUAUAUAUAUAUCUAUAUAUAUAAGCUUACAGUGAAAGGACACAAGC